rnacentral:rRNA from 1 species
GAUGAACGCUGACAGAAUGCUUAACACAUGCAAGUCUUUGGCGAAUCUGUGCUUGCACAGGCUAGCCAAGGCGGACGGGAGAGUAACGCGUAAAGAACUUGCCCUGCAGACAGGGAUAACAGACGGAAACGACUGAUAACACCUGAUACAGUUGCCGGCACGCAUGUGCCUGGCAAUGAAAAGAGAUGCUGCAGGAGAGCUUUGCGUCCUAUUAGCUUGUUGGUGAGGUGACGGCUCACCAAGGCGAUGAUAGGUAGCCGGCCUGAGAGGGUGAACGGCCACAAGGGGACUGAGAUACGGCCCUUACUCCUACGGGAGGCAGCAGUGGGGAAUAUUGGACAAUGGGGGCAACCCUGAUCCAGCAAUUCUGUGUGCACGAAGAAGGUUUUCGGAUUGUAAAGUGCUUUCAGCAGGGAAGAAGAAAGUGACGGUACCUGCAGAAGAAGCGACGGCUAAAUACGUG